rnacentral:tRNA from 1 species
GGGAUUUUAGCUCAGUUGGGAGAGCAUCUGCCUUACAAGCAGAGGGUCGGGGGUUCGAAUCCCUCAAAUCCCA